GGGGCUGUGGCUGAGUGGCAGAGCUUCUGCUCGACAUGCAGAGGGCCUCAGGUUCAAUCCCAGUGGCGCAUCA
rnacentral:tRNA from 1 species